UACGGGGGGGGCAAGCGUUGUUCGGAAUUACUGGGCGUAAAGGGCUCGUAGGCGGCCAACUAAGUCAGACGUGAAAUCCCUCGGCUUAACCGGGGAACUGCGUCUAAUACUGGAUGGCUUGAGUUUGGGAGAGGGAUGCGGAAUUCCAGGUGUAGCGGUGAAAUGCGUAGAUAUCUGGAGGAACACCGGUGGCGAAGGCGGCAUCCUGGACCAACACUGACGCUGAGUGAGCGAAAGCCAGGGGAGCAAACGGG
rnacentral:rRNA from 1 species